rnacentral:rRNA from 1 species
GGAGAAGAAUGGUCGGCAGAGUAACUGUUGUCGGCGUGACGGUAUCCAACCAGAAAGCCACGGCUAACUACGUGCCAGCAGCCGCGGUAAUACGUAGGUGGCAAGCGUUAUCCGGAUUUAUUGGGCGUAAAGCGAGCGCAGGCGGUUUUUUAAGUCUGAUGUGAAAGCCCUCGGCUUAACCGAGGAAGUGCAUCGGAAACUGGGAAACUUGAGUGCAGAAGAGGACAGUGGAACUCCAUGUGUAGCGGUGAAAUGCGUAGAUAUAUGGAAGAACACCAGUGGCGAAGGCGGCUGUCUGGUCUGUAACUGACGCUGAGGCUCGAAAGCAUGGGUAGCGAACAGGAUUAGAUACCCUGGUAGUCCAUGCCGUAAACGAUGAAUGCUAGGUGUUGGAGGGUUUCCGCCCUUCAGUGCCGCAGCUAACGCAUUAAGCAUUCCGCCUGGGGAGUACGACCGCAAGGUUGAAACUCAAAGGAAUUGACGAGGGGUCGACGCGGCC